rnacentral:rRNA from 1 species
GACAGAGGUGCCAAGCGUUAGGCGGAAUCACUGGGCUUAAAGCGUGUGUAGGCGGAUCGGUAAGUACCUUGUGAAAUCCCACAGCUUAACUGUGGAACUGCUUGGUAUACUGCCAGUCUUGAGCCAGCUAGGGGCUACCGGAACAAAUGGUGGAGCGGUGAAAUGCGUAGAUAUCAUUUGGAACGCCAAUGGUGAAAACAGGUAGCUGGGGCUGUGCUGACGCUGAGGUGCGAAAGCGUGGGGAGCAAACAGG